AUAUCUCUCCGUACGGGAAGGAUGAGAAGCUUCGACUAAGGUUCGAUUCGAGCGCAGCGAGAACGCGUUGCCGCAGGCAACGACCCGAAGG
rnacentral:sRNA from 3 species